UGAAAUGCUCCCUGCAGCCAGCAAGA
rnacentral:piRNA from 1 species